AUGAAAUGGCUGUCAAACUUGGGCAUGAUCCUCGGAGAGAUGGAGUUUAUAUCGAAACACAUACAUGCAAGAAAGGGGAAAGGAAAGGGAGUUAUGUGCCACAGGCAGCAACAACAAUUAAAGAACUCAAAGAGAAUGCUGAAAAGCACCCUGAAUGGAAGGAAAAGAGCAUUCAAGAAGGUGAUCUGUUUGCACGCGCAUGUGGAAUGA
rnacentral:rRNA from 1 species